rnacentral:rRNA from 1 species
UACGGAGGAUCCAAGCGUUAUCCGGAAUCAUUGGGUUUAAAGGGUCCGUAGGCGGUCUAAUAAGUCAGUGGUGAAAGCCCAUCGCUUAACGAUGGAACGGCCAUUGAUACUGUUAGACUUGAAUUAUUGGGAAGUAACUAGAAUAUGUAGUGUAGCGGUGAAAAUGCUUAGAUAUUACAUGGAAUACCAAUUGCGAAGGCAGGUUACUAUCAAUAUAUUGACGCUGAUGGACAAAAGCGUGGGGAGCGAACAGG